GAUGAACGCUGGCGGCGUGCUUAACACAUGCAAGUCGAACGGAAAGGCCCAAGCUUGCUUGGGUACUCGAGUGGCGAACGGGUGAGUAACACGUGGGUGAUCUGCCCUGCACUUCGGGAUAAGCCUGGGAAACUGGGUCUAAUACCGGAUAGGACCACUUCUUGGAUGUUGUGGUGGAAAGUUUUUUCGGUGUGGGAUGAGCUCGCGGCCUAUCAGCUUGUUGGUGGGGUAAUGGCCUACCAAGGCGUCGACGGGUAGCCGGCCUGAGAGGGUGUACGGCCACAUUGGGACUGAGAUACGGCCCAGACUCCGACGGGAGGCAGCAGGGGGGAAUAUUGCACAAUGGGCGCAAGCCGGAUGCAGCGACGCCGCGUGGGGGAGGACGGCCUUCGGGUUGUAAACUCCUUUCGCUAGGGACGAAGCGUUUUGUGACGGUACCCGGAGAAGAAGCACCGGCUAACUACGUG
rnacentral:rRNA from 1 species